AACCCAUGCCAUGGACAUUUCUGUAGGAGAUCCUUGAACCUAUCCUAUAUCUCAUAAAGAGACUCCAAUUUCAUUCACACAAAAGAGGAUAUUUCAUUCCUGAGCUU